GCAGAAAACUGUCUGGCUAUAAAUUGUAACGAUACAGAGAAGAUUAGCAUGGCCCCUGCACGAGGAUGACACUCAAAUUCAUGGAGCGUUCCAUAUUUAG
rnacentral:snRNA from 1 species